UUAAAAUUAGUUAAUCGCUAUAACAUAGGCUUGUCAUGCCUAAAUAAUCAUAA
rnacentral:tRNA from 1 species